GCCUGUUUGUGGGGCGUUUANUUCGCCUUCCAAGCGAAAGACCUGGGUUCGAUUCCCAGCGAAUGCA
rnacentral:tRNA from 1 species